rnacentral:lncRNA from 1 species
CAGUUGCCAUGCAGACUAAUAUUUGAUCACUGAGUUGUCAGAAGUGAUAGAAAACUCAUUCUGUAAACAAUGCUAAUCAAAGGUUAGGAGGACAAAACUGUCCCAAAAGUGACAAGAAUAUUUAGACUAUUAAGUCUUUCAGCUCUUCAGUAUCUUAAGCAAAAGCGUAUUUCCUUCAGUUUCCCAUCCUGUUUCUGGAGCCAUGCAAGCCUGGUGGCCGAGGAAUACGUUGUAAGGGAGACAGUGAGGAUCCACUGCCCAUAUACUUCAGUGCUCCCGAGUCCCUGCAGCAUCACCUCUUCUCGGUUUUCUCUGAUGCAUGGGCUACUGCUGCCACAUUUUAUUCUGUUCUCCUCUACGGUGGACAAACAUACUUUGAGCUCAGGCACUUGCCUGUGGCCAGAUUCAUAGGAGAGGUCUGUAGUGGGCACAGAGCACAAAGACCAGACUCAGUUCCUCUGAAACUGUGGGACAUAAUAGCCCCCAAUCUGGAGUACGAUGAGCCAAACCGUACAACUAUGGAGUCGCUGGUAGAGUGCAUGGAAAACUGUGGGAGUACCUUGGGUAUGGAAAACACUGUAACUGGCGAGUCUUUUGGUCAACAUCACUGUCCUUUCCUUUA